UAAUGUCUGGGAAACUGCCUGAUGGAGGGGGAUAACUACUGGAAACGGUAGCUAAUACCGCAUAACGUCGCAAGACCAAAGAGGGGGACCUUCGGGCCUCUUGCCAUCGGAUGUGCCCAGAUGGGAUUAGCUAGUAGGUGGGGUAACGGCUCACCUAGGCGACGAUCCCUAGCUGGUCUGAGAGGAUGACCAGCCACACUGGAACUGAGACACGGUCCAGACUCCUACGGGAGGCAGCAGUGGGGAAUAUUGCACAAUGGGCGCAAGCCUGAUGCAGCCAUGCCGCGUGUAUGAAGAAGGCCUUCGGGUUGUAAAGUACUUUCAGCGGGGAGGAAGGGAGUAAAGUUAAUACCUUUGCUCAUUGACGUUACCCGCAGAAGAAGCACCGGCUAACUCCGUGCCAGCAGCCGCGGUAAUACGGAGGGUGCAAGCGUUAAUCGGAAUUACUGGGCGUAAAGCGCACGCAGGCGGUUUGUUAAGUCAGAUGUGAAAUCCCCGGGCUCAACCUGGGAACUGCAUCUGAUACUGGCAAGCUUGAGUCUCGUAGAGGGGGGUAGAAUUCCAGGUGUAGCGGUGAAAUGCGUAGCGAUCUGGAGGAAUACCUGGUGGCGAAG
rnacentral:rRNA from 1 species